rnacentral:rRNA from 1 species
UACAGAGGUCCCAAGCGUUGUUCGGAUUCACUGGGCGUAAAGGGUGCGCAGGUGGGUUUGCAAGUUCGAUGUGAAAGCCCCGGGCUUAACCCGGGAAUGGCAUUGGAUACUGCAGAUCUGGAGGAUCGGAGGGGGGACUGGAAUUCUUGGUGUAGCAGUGAAAUGCGUAGAUAUCAAGAGGAACACCAGUGGCGAAGGCGAGUCCCUGGACGAUACCUGACACUGAGGCACGAAAGCUAGGGGGGCAAACAGG